GACGAACGCUGGCGGCGUGCUUAACACAUGCAAGUCGAACGGAAAGGCGCUGCUUUUGUGGGGCGCUCGAGUGGCGAACGGGUGAGUAACACGUGUGUAACAUGUCCCUGACUUUGGGAUAACUUCUGGAAACUGGGGAUCAUACCGGAUAGGAGAUCCUGCUGCAUGGUGGGGGUUGGAAAGUUUCGGCGGUUGGGGAUGGACUCGCGGCUUAUGCGCUUGUUGGUGAGGUAGUGGCUUACCAAGGCUUUGACGGGUAGCCGGCCUGAGAGGGUGACCGGCCACAUUGGUACUGAGAUACGGCCCAGAAUCCAACGGGAGGCAGCAGUGGGGAGUAUUGCACAAUGGGCGGAAGCCUGAUGCAGCAGCGCCCCGUACGGAAUGACGGCCUUCGGGUUGUAAACCACUUUCGCCGGUGACGAGGCGUGAGUGACGGUAAUGGGUAAAGAAGCACCGGCUAACUACGUG
rnacentral:rRNA from 1 species